rnacentral:rRNA from 1 species
UACGUAGGUGGCAAGCGUUGUCCGGAUUUAUUGGGUUUAAAGGGUGCGUAGGCGGCCCUGUAAGUCAGUGCUGAAAUAUCCCAGCUUAACUGGGAGGGUGGCAUUGAUACUGCGGGGCUAGAGUACAGAUGAGGUAGGCGGAAUUGACGGUGUAGCGGUGAAAUGCGUAGAUAUCGUCAAGAACACCUAUAGCGAAGGCAGCUUACUAGGCUGUAACUGACGCUGAGGCACGAAAGUGUGGGGAUCAAACAGG